rnacentral:rRNA from 1 species
UGAGGAAUAUUGGACAAUGGGUGGAAGCCUGAUCCAGCCAUCCCGCGUGAAGGACGACUGCCCUAUGGGUUGUAAACUUCUUUUGUAUAGGGAUAAACCUACUCUCGUGAGGGUAGCUGAAGGUACUAUACGAAUAAGCACCGGCUAACUCCGUGCCAGCAGCCGCGGUAAUACGGAGGGUGCAAGCGUUAUCCGGAUUUAUUGGGUUUAAAGGGUCCGUAGGUGGGUUAGUAAGUCAGUGGUGAAAUCCUGCAGCUUAACUGUAGAACUGCCAUUGAUACUGCUAGUCUUGAGUGUAUUUGAAGUAGCUGGAAUAAGUAGUGUAGCGGUGAAAUGCAUAGAUAUUACUUAGAACACCAAUUGCGAAGGCAGGUUACUAAGAUACAACUGACGCUGAGGGACGAAAGCGUGGGGAGCGAACAG